rnacentral:rRNA from 1 species
GACGAACGCUGGCGGCGUGCUUAACACAUGCAAGUCGAACGAAGUGGCGGACGGGCGAGUAACGCGUAAUCAACCUGCCAAUCAGAGGGGGACAACAGUUGGAAACGACUGAUAAUACCGCAUACUGAAGGAGGGGAUUGCGUCUGAUUAGCUAGUUGGAGGGGUAACGGCCCACAAAGGCGAUGAGCAGUAGCCGGUCUGGGAGGAUGAACUGCCACAUUGGGACUGAGACAACGCCCAGACUCCUACGGGAGGCAGCAGUGGGGAAUCUUCCGCAAUGGACGAAAGUCUGACGGAGCAACGCCGCGUGAGUGAUGACGGCCUUCGGAUUGUAAAGCUCUGUUAAUCGGGACGCGGUACCGGAAUAGAAAGCCACGGCUAACUACGUGCCAGCAGCCGCGGUAAUUC